GUCUGGCCUGCCCACUGAAGUAAUUUAAAGGGCCGCGGUAAUUUGACCGUGCGAAGGUAGCAUAAUCAAUAGUCUUUUAAUUGAAGGCUGGAAUGAAUGGUCGGACAAAGAAUUGACUGUCUCUUUUACAUUUCUUUAACUUUACUUUUAAGUGAAAAGGCUUAAAUAAAAUUAGGGGACGAUAAGACCCUAUAAAACUUUAUAGGCAUGCUUCUACUUUUUGAAAUGACGUUUAAUAUCAACUAAAAGCUACCUAUUAUGUUGGGGAGACAAAGAUAUAAUAAGUAACUGUCAUUAAAACAAUAUAAUAAUAAUUAGGUUAAUUGAUCCUCUAUAUAGAGAUUAUAAGAUCAAGUUACUUUAGGGAUAACAGCGUAAUUUUCUUUGAGAGUUCCUAUCGACAAGAGUAGUUGCGACCUCGAUGUUGAAUUAAGAUUUCUUUCAAGUGUAGCAGCUUGGUGAGUGGGUCUGUUCGACCUU
rnacentral:rRNA from 1 species